CACUACCUAUAGCAACCUUGCCUAUUGACUCAGGGAUUUUUAACUUCUAAUCAUGCUAUACUUCCAGUCGAGUUGAUAAACUAAUUUAAUUCUGUACCCUCCUAGUCACCUGGCUCCUGGUCCCUCAGCAUCCUCCCUCUGCAUUGCUCAGGCUUUUGUGAUGCCCUGACUGCUGGAAUUUCCCUCUGGUUGCUAACAACACGCAGGCCAAAGCUGCCAGCAAGGCACUAAAUUCACCCCAAAGGAUGAUCAUUUUAGAGCUGUUUGCUUCAGUAAUCCAGUAUCACUUGUUCUGGGGAAGUGACAGCCACUCAGACAUAAGAAGUAUAUUCUCCGUAAGGUGCAAAAAAAGCAACACUUUCAGAAGCAUAUAAUGCCAGAAUGGAAAGAAGAUCUGGGCAGAAGAGUCUUAGGAGUCACGAUCCCACACUGCAUUGCCAGUUUGACUACUGAUUUACUUGUACCUUGAGAAAGCAGCUCAACAUCUCUGUGCGGAUGCACUUGACACUUGAUAAAAAAAGGUAACCAAAAAUAUUUCCUAACCAUGAAUUUUACAGUUGUGUAU